rnacentral:rRNA from 1 species
GCGACCCCAGGUCAGGCGGACUACCCG